rnacentral:rRNA from 1 species
AGUGAACGCUGGCGGUAGGCCUAACACAUGCAAGUCGAACGGCAGCACAGUAAGAGCUUGCUCUUACGGGUGGCGAGUGGCGGACGGGUGAGGAAUACAUCGGAAUCUACUUUUUCGUGGGGGAUAACGUAGGGAAACUUACGCUAAUACCGCAUACGACCUACGGGUGAAAGCAGGGGAUCUUCGGACCUUGCGCGAUUGAAUGAGCCGAUGUCGGAUUAGCUAGUUGGCGGGGUAAAGGCCCACCAAGGCGACGAUCCGUAGCUGGUCUGAGAGGAUGAUCAGCCACACUGGAACUGAGACACGGUCCAGACUCCUACGGGAGGCAGCAGUGGGGAAUAUUGGACAAUGGGCGCAAGCCUGCUCCAGCCAUACCGCGUGGGUGAAGAAGGCCUUCGGGUGGUAAAGCCCUUUUUUUGGGAAAGAAAAGCAGCAGGUUAAUACCCCGCUGUUCUGACGGUACCCAAAGAAUAAGCACCGGCUAACUUCGUG